GAACCAGCGGAGGGAUCAUUACCGAGUUUACAACUCCCAAACCCAAUGUGAACGUUACCAAACUGUUGCCUCGGCGGGAUCUCUGCCCCGGGUGCGUCGCAGCCCCGGACCAAGGCGCCCGCCGGAGGACCAACCAAAACUCUUAUUGUAUACCCCCUCGCGGGUUUUUUACUAUCUGAGCCAUCUCGGCGCCCCUCGUGGGCGUUUCGAAAAUGAAUCAAAACUUUCAACAACGGAUCUCUUGGUUCUGGCAUCGAUGAAGAACGCAGCGAAAUGCGAUAAGUAAUGUGAAUUGCAGAAUUCAGUGAAUCAUCGAAUCUUUGAACGCACAUUGCGCCCGCCAGUAUUCUGGCGGGCAUGCCUGUCCGAGCGUCAUUUCAACCCUCGAACCCCUCCGGGGGGUCGGCGUUGGGGAUCGGCCCUUUACGGGGCCGGCCCCGAAAUACAGUGGCGGUCUCGCCGCAGCCUCUCCUGCGCAGUAGUUUGCACACUCGCAUCGGGAGCGCGGCGCGUCCACAGCCGUUAAACACCCCAAACUUCUGAAAUGUGA
rnacentral:rRNA from 1 species